GACGUAGGAUGCAAGCGUUGUCCGGAUUUAUUGGGCGUAAAGAGUUCGUAGGUGGUUUGUUAAGUCUGAUGUUAAAGACUGGGGCUCAACCUCGGAAAUGCAUUGGAUACUGGCAGACUCGAGUGCAGUAGAGGCAAGUGGAAUUCCAGGUGUAGCGGUGAAAUGCGUAGAUAUCUGGAAGAACACCGGUGGCGCAAGCGACUUGCUGGGCUGUAACUGACGCUGAGGAACGAAAGCUAGGGGAGCAAAU
rnacentral:rRNA from 1 species